AGUGUCGUGUGCAAAUCCCGCAAAUGCGUACGUGUGCAAAUUGUGACGUAACCACACUUGUGCAACGACAAAGAAUCUUGAAUUUGAAAUGUUUUUCUAUAAAAUACGCAGCAUUCUGCAGUUAAUCUCAUUUGACCUUGUACUGCUCGUCAGUCCUCAUGGGGAGUGCUACAAUACAACAAAGUUACCAUGCAGAGCUCACCUGGAGCCAGGGCUGAUGUACAGAAAAAUUAGUUGGUACAAGGUAGAGGAAGGUUUGACUGGGCUGGUGCUGAAAUACCUGAACACCAACCAGACUGUCAUCUAUAAAUCUGCAAACCACUCAUACCAGAUUGGAGAGGACCUGUCACUCAUUCUUCCCAUCUCAGCCAUAAAUGAUUGUGGUACAUACCAAUGCACUCUUUGGCCUCCUGUUGGGCACAAGAUUCAGGAAGGAGAAUGCAGCUAUUAUCCUCAAGGAUGCCCAGAGCCACAGGAGCCCCACUUGACAAAGGUACUGCCUGUGAAGCUCUCAAGUUCCAGCCUUGCGGAUAAUCUGGCGUAUUACGUGAUGGCAGGCAUGGGUGCUAUGGCUCUCCUGCUUGCUGUAUUAUUGUCAGUGGCAAUUUGGAAAUGUAAAUCGCGACAACAUGAGAAAUAUAGUUCACUUCUGACGUGAAAUUGCGGAAAGGUUAAAAUGUCAUGUUUACGGAAUACAGGUGAACCAAUGAACAUGUUAAAAGCCUGUAGAAUUGGGUGAAUUAUGUGUGUAUUUUUACACCCUGUAUAUCCUGUUUUCAAGUUACCAAAUUAGGGUGCCAUUUGUGUACAAAAAUACAUGUAAAGUAAAGGAAAAUAAUCUUGCAUUAUUGUGGGUCCAUAUCAUAUCUCAUGCUUGAAACUUCUUCAUGAGGUCAUUAUAGGUUAAGAAAAAUGUUUAUUUUAAUUGUGUCCCAUAAUAUUCACUCAACCCUGUUACCUGAAAACAUUCACCCCGGUUAAAUGUUUUUAAUAUGUCUGUAGUGCAGACAGAAACACUGAGCAUUUUCAAGACCAGGCUUGAUAUGGUGUUAGAUUCUAUUUGGCUUUUUGGCAAAUUAGGCAGUAGGUUCCUUUUUCUUAUAUAAAUAGUACUUAUUUGGACAUUUCUUUAAAAAAAUAUAUAUUUUUUUUUUUUGAGGGGAAAGGGAUUUAUUUAAUAUGCUUUGAAUAAAGUUUGGUAACGGGGCUAAGCAAAUACAGCCAAAAAAAUGGGAUAUUAUUACCUGAGAAGGGUAAUUGUAUUUUUUCAAUGGUCUUUGUCCGGUUCUGUGUUAAAAAAAAACAAGGAAAUAUACGUUUUUGCAAAAGGCAGUCGUUGUCAGCAAAGAGAGCAUACAUUUUUUUUCCAAACAUGUUUCUUGAAGGGUUAAAAAGGGUUUUUUUUUCUAUAAAAAAGCCUAUUUUCCCACUUGAUCCAAUCAUGCUUGACAGCCAAUACAGAAUAAUUCCUCAUAUAUUUGAUGUUCUAUCUAUGCUAUAUCUAUUUUUCAUUAUUUUUACCUGGUCCAAUGUUUUUCCCCAAAUACACAGACAAAGAAAAAAAAUACAUGGAAGUUGACAGUCUCCGCAUUCAUUGUUUCAUUUCAAAUCCAAUGUGCUGGAGUACAGAGCCAAAAGAACAAAAAUUGUGUCACUGCCAUAGUACUUAUGCAUGUUCUUAUACUUCAAGAUGCAUCCCUCAAUACCUGUGAGAUAAAGGACAGUUCAUUUUUUUAAUCGAUGAAAACACUGAGCUAAACUGAAACAUUGAUGUGUAAUUUGCCAACGUGAGUUUUGAAGCAUUUGCAGAAGAAGCCAAUGAAUAUGCCUGCCUGACUGAUUAGGGAAGGUUGUUCGUCCAGUGGGCCAGAAGGGGUAUUAUGCGAUGGACAGCCACCUGGAAGAAGGAUGCUAAAUGGGGAUGCCUGGUUGGUGUAUAUAGUGGGGUCAUUUGUGGCUUGGUAAGUUUGGGAGAGAUUUGAAGUGAACGCAGACGACCCCAGGAAGGCUUGGCCUUCAUUGGAAAGUUGAUAACCAGGUGGGCAGCAGCGUUCUAGACUAUUUGCAGUGGCCUGAUGACACGUGAGUAUACCAGCCAGCAAGGCACAACAUUAACUGAAGCUCCUGACCCGUAUCUGAUGGUAUGCAAUGCACUGCUGCCACACAAUUGGCUGAUUUGAUCAUCGCAAUAAAGUAAAAAUGUAAAGUGAUAUGUGAGUGUAUACAGUUGGUACCCUCCUUGUUGGGGCUGGUUGGUACAAUGGAAUGACUUAAAUCAUUAUAGCCGCCUAAAUGUACAAAACAAUUGCGGACAUUAAAAUUAAUGUUUUCAAACUGCGAACCAGAGAAUUACGGGAAACCGGUCUUCACAGUGAAUGCGAAACUGCGUUUACGGGAAGUGGGCGAGUGGGUUAUCAUAGCAAUGGAAACAUUGUGAGGGGCUUUCUCUUCACAGCGAGACUAUCGACAAAGAUGUUUUCAAGAUGUGUUCUGCCUAGUUCAUUAUAUUUGCUUGUCGUCAUGAUCCUGCGGAGCUCGGAGGCUAUGACCUCGAUUCACGCCAAGUGCAGAGAAAAUGUCAUACUGCCCUGUGAUGCUACCCAUCCGGCUGAACCGUACCGGUAUGUCACUUGGUACAAGGUAGGCUUCAGGCGCCCCAAGAUAUGCCUAAAAAUCUUUUUCGAAUAUGAGCUGUUUUUAACCCUUGCAGAUGCAUAUGCUCCUCAAUACCCCUUUAAUGCAAAUGAAAUAGUAUUUCUUGGUAGGAUAUACAGUCCCCUCCAAAAGUAUUGGAACAGGAAGGUCAAUUCCUUUGUUUUUGCUCUACACUGAAGGCAAAAAGAUGUACAUGAGAUCACAUUCUGAAUUUCAGCUUUUAUUGCCUGGUAUUUUUAUUUAGAUUUGUUAAACAACUUAUGACCUGUUGUAUCUGACCUCCCAAUCUUUAGGUGAGCAAAUGUAUUUGAAUAUGUGACUGACUGGUGUUUCUUUUGCCUGGAUAUGUCCUGUUAGAUUGAUUGGUUGAACAAUAAAUAGUUUUGAAUGUUUACACCUGGUUUUAACCUUGGGUUUUGCCUUUGAAGACUGAAUUUGUGUUAGAAAGGAUAAACCAACAUGAAGACCAGAGAGCUGUCUUUGGGAGAAAAGCAAACAAUUUUGAAGCUGGGAAAAGAGGGGAAAUUGAUCACUGCUAUUGCACAACCAUUGGGGAUGGCUUGUACAACAACUUGGAAUGUCCUAAAAAAGAAAGAAACCUUGAGUACUGAGCAACAGACCUCGACCAGGUCGAUCAAGGUGAACGGGACUCGAACUGGGAUUAUCAUGAAAUAUCAAGGCAAAGAAGAGGAGCCUUUCAACAAUGCACGGACGGCCUGGUUGAGAGAUGGGGAGAGCCUGUCAAUCCCCGGUGUCAGGCCUGAGGACUCAGGGGAGUAUGAGUGUCUCCGGUUUCCACACGUGGGUGGAAAAAUCAGAGAAACAAAGCUCCAUCUCAAUGUAUCAGAAUGCAUCACCCAUGCUGAUACCACAGCCACUGCUUUGGCUACUGUGGCUGCUGAUACCACACUUGCAGCUUCGGCUGCUGUGUCUGGUGUGAUGUCUUCAUCCAGUAGUCCCUGCAUGGUCCAGGUGCUGGAGGUGACCCCAUUAAUGGUCAUAUCCAGUUUUUCCAUCAUUGCCUUUGUCAAAGUUAUUUUCUGCAUCCUUGCUGUCUGGGUAAGUAUUAUCGUCCUACUUACUUUUCCUUUAGAAUUAAAACCAAAAUGUCACUUAAAAUUCAUUUAAAUAAUACAGUCCCCUCCAAAAGUAUUGGAACAGCAAGGCCAACAUCUUGUGGUAUAUCCUCUAUAUUGCUGCUAAGUCUUCUUCAAAACAGUUAAUUAAGCUACCUCCACCCUUGCCCUGUGGAGAUUGUUUGAGAUGUCACUGACUGAUGUUUUGUGGUUUUUCUUGAGAAGUUUCAUCAACUAUUGUUGUUUUCCUUUAUCAACCUUUUAUAAUCGUUAUAAUGGUACAGUAGAAUUUAUAGAUGGUAACAUUUGUAUUUUAUUGCACAAGCAGUAAAAACAACACAUAAUGUUUUAUAAUAGUGCUGUUCACUUUAGUUUAGUUUUCAGUUUGUUCUCAACUGCAUGUUCUCCUGCAUGGAAAUGAACUGAUGAACAGCCAAACUGUUGUAUAAUGUAGGCUGACAGGCAACCCUGUCCUUCACUUUUCACUCGUCUGUCCAUAGGACAUUAUCCCAAAGGGGAUCAUCCAGGUUCCUUUUUGCGAAUGUGUGCCAAGCAUUGAUGUUUCUUUUGGUAAGCAGUGGUUUCUGUCCUGCUACUCUCCCAUGAAUCCAAUUCCUGUCCAGUCUUCUUCUUGUUGAGAAGUCAUGAAGUGACCUUAGCUGUGGCUAGAGGGGCCUGCAGUUCUUUGGGUGUCUCCUGGGAUCUUUUAUGAGUUCCUGGAUGAGUUAUCACUGUACCCUUAAAGACAUUUUGGCAGGCCAGCCACUCCUGGGAAGACUGUUCCAAGUGUUUCCAUUUGGAGAUGAUGUCUCUUUAUGGUUCGGGGGAAGGGCUUUGUAACCAUUUCCAGACUGGUAUAUUUCAACAUUAUUAUUAUUCUCAUCUCUUCCGGAAUUUCUUUUGAUUGUGGCAUAUAGUGUACUUUGUGAUGACUACUUCACUCUCAUGGUAAGGAUCAAUACAAGUGAGGUUUAGAGUUAUCAAGUUCAGUUGGUUUCAGUUAAUUGGUUAGUUGAGUGUCUAAUGGGGCAAAUACACAUAUGGGGGAUAUGGAUAACUUUUUUCAACAAGAUCUAGUCACAGCAGGCUCGAUAUGAACUCAGUUGUGUUUAUCCCAACGGUGACAUAUCUUGACCAAGCUGGCUUCCUGAUCUCCUUCUGCCCUUCUGCCUUGCUGUUUUUGUCAUUUAUUUGCAUUUCUGCUGUGUGAGACGGUGAGAUGUUUGUGUUACCUUUUUCAUCAGGGCGUGUUUGCAAUCAGAACGAGACUAGAGAGACGGAGAAUGGACAUCUGGAUAUAAGAGUACUGUGGGGGAAGGGCGAGCAUGGACAGCCAAUCAGGGGUUGAAGGGAGACGAGGGCCCCAUUCCUGUGUAAAAUACUGAGAGCUUCACAGAACUACUUUUACACUUACGACAGCAGUGUCCUACAGAAGCAUUUGUUGCAACAGAAUUUAAAUUCCUCAGUUUUCAGAGUUCAGUUUCAUUUUUGCAUGUACAUGCAGAAGUCUUAGGCACCCUAGACUUUAUUAUAUAUACUUUUAUUUUUUUGAGUGUGUUAGUAUAAAAGAACACAUUUGAGAUUUCCAAAUAUUCAUUUUCCAAAAGAUAUAAUUUUAGAGACAUUUUUGUAUUUAAUUUUUUUUUUUUAAGUAAGAUAUUACUGUAAGCAAUUGACUGCAUUUUACAUGAUCCUACAUUUUACAUGAAACUUGAUCAAGGCUGUCUGAGAUCAGAAGCAAGGAGCCAAUCAAAAUCUACAGAAGAACUGCAGUAAGUUCUCCAACAUGCUUGGAACAACGUCCCUGCUGAUUGUCUUAUAGAACUGCAGGACAGCAUUGGCCAUCUCAGAGAAGUAAUGCAGUUUUAACGCCAAAGGGUGGUCACAAAAAAUAUUGAUUCGAUUCAGUUUUUAACUAUUCUGCCAAAUUACUCAAAUGUAAUGUAAAAUGUAUAGUACAUUUAUUUAGGACCUUUCAUUGAAUUAUUUUUGAAAGAAUCUUAUCUGUACAGAAUGUUAUACAGGUGCCUAAGAACUUUUUCACAGUACUGUACAUAUCAGUGACUAACAUGUAGAUAAUAUAGUGUAUAUAAUGUCUUGAAACAAUUAUUGCCAAUAUGUAUAUUUGAACUAGAUAGAUUUCAUUGGAUUUCUGUUCUUUUGGAACUGUACUCUAGCACAUUGGAUUUUGAACGAAACAAUGAAAAGUAGGUUAAAUUGCAGAUGGUCACACUUAAUUUGCGGGUAGUUACAUCCAUAUCCAGUGAUUCAUGUAGGAUAACAUCCCUUUUUAGGGGACAGUUGGCUUCUUCUCCACUGUUUCGAUUAGUCAGGUGUAUUCAAUCGCUUCCUUAUUUACUAUCUAGUCUUGGUUCUAUGCUUUUUAUUGCAUUUGUUAUUUUUUGGCUUGUACCUCCAUUAACAGCACUUCAAUUUUCCUGGUUCAAUUUUUCUUUGCCUAUCUCUGUAAUGGAAUUAAUCUUGGAAUUCUUAAUGGAAUUACAAGCUCCUUAUAUGGUAUUUUAGGGGUGUCAACUAAUCACAAGUUCUGUGAAAAUGCUUAUUAUGUACAAUGCGUUUCUGGUGGAAUUUGUUUCCGAUUACACAUACAUUCACACACAGAUUUCUGAAAAUAAGAUUGGUCUGAUAAACAGCUGAACCUCCUGACCAUGUCUGCAUGCCUUUAUGAAUUUAGUUGCUGCCACAUGAUAGGUUGAUUCAAUAUUUGCAUUAACAAGCUGGUGUACAGGUCUACCUAAUAAAGUGAUCACUGAGUGUAUGAAAAGGGAUGCAUUUCCUAUAUGGAUCACCUGAUAUGGCUGUAAAUAUCCUGAAAUUAAAGUACUCCAUUCUGCACUUUAACAUCAUAUCCAUUAUUUGAUUUCCAAUCCAAUGUAGUACUGGAGUACUGAGCCAAACGGACAGAAAUUGUACCACUGUCCAAAGACAUACAGACUGCACUGUACAAAUCAUGGGUCUUUCCAGGAUAUAUAUAUAUAUAUAUAUUUUAUGAUGGGUUAAAUGCAGAGGAUAAAUGCUCAGUAAGGUAUACAUAUCUUAUCUCUUGAUUAUGGUCUGCUGAAAAUGGCAAUAGGUUUUUCACACAAUUUGUGAUGUCCAAGAAUGAUGAGGUAAUCUCGUAUUAAAUAAAUUCACCUUAUUUUUUAUUAUGUGAACAGUCUUGCUCAUUCAAAUAUGUCUCAGCAGUGCCCCCUGCUGCUGUAACACGGAUGUGACAGCUUAAUCCUGCAUUACCUGCUGAUUCAGUUCUAUGAAAUAAUAAAAUGUACCUCUUUGUCCUGUAUGUUUCAAUAUUGAAUGCCUGUAUACAUAUGAAAAAUAGUUUUGGUGUUGUCACUAACCCUGAAAACUCAUGUAUGCUGGUUCAAAUAUGUAUUCACAUUUUACACAUUGCACCUGUGAAUUAUGCUGACCAGAAUUGGAAUGUCCUCUUUGGGACUGAACUCAUCUGUUUAUAUGGGAUUUGGGUUUCUUCAUUCCAACAAUCGUAUAUAAAUAAAUAAAUAAAAGGCCUAAUAUUGACUAA